GACGAACGCUGGCGGCGUGCUUAACACAUGCAAGUCGAACGGAAAGGCCCUGCUUUUGUGGGGUGCUCGAGUGGCGAACGGGUGAGUAACACGUGAGUAACCUGCCCUUGACUUUGGGAUAACUUCAGGAAACUGGGGCUAAUACCGGAUAGGAGCUCCUGCUGCAUGGUGGGGGUUGGAAAGUUUCGGCGGUUGGGGAUGGACUCGCGGCUUAUCAGCUUGCUGGUGGGGUAGUGGCUUAACAAGGCUUUGCCGGGUAGCCGGCCUGAGAGGGUGACCGGCCACAUCAGGACUGGGAUACGGCCCAGACUCCUACGGGAGGCAGCAGUGGAGAAUAUUACACAAUGGGCGGAAGCCUGAUGCAGCAACGCCGCGUGCGGGAUGACGGCCUUCGGGUUAUAAACCGCUUUCGCCUGUGACGAAGCGUGAGUGACGGUAAUGGGUAAAGAAGCACCGGCUAACUACGUG
rnacentral:rRNA from 1 species